CCUUGUCAGUCAUUAUGGCAUCUUGGCCAAGAAUAAGUUUUUUUACUAAGCCUGAUCAAAAAUUGUUUUAUUAGAAACUCAGUCUCCAUAUGCUUUAGUAAUAAAUGUGAGUAUUCCUCCAGGAGAAAUAUCAGUUAAAAACUUGACAGUAUGCCUUCCCUUGUGUUGUGAGUAAGUCCUAAUUCUACAAAAUAAGCAUUUUGGUUUUUGAAUUUCCAUUUCUGUGCAAUCAAUUAUAUUAUGUGUGUUUUCAAACAACUUAAAACAAGUUGUCAUAUUUUUUGAAUAUUCUUCUUUAGAAGGCCAAGGAAUUGAAGACUUUAAAAUAGUCGUUGAGCAUGUAAUAGUUUCAUGAAAUAUAUCUUUACGUUUUUGGGAUGAAAUAGUUUGAAAUAAAA